AGUGGACCCCCUGGACAGAAGGCUGGGUAUCAACAAGUACUCUGACGUGACCAAGCCAAUCAUCCAUACAUCGGCGUUCAUGGAGAUAUGCUCCACCCACUCUGUUCAGGUUCGGAAGUGUUGUGUUUGAGAUCACGUCAGGCAGAUAGAGAAGGUGGAGCUGGUCCUCCAGGACCUCCUUCAGCUGCAAUAUGAGGGCCUGGCAAUCAUGAAGAUGUUUGGAAGGGCCAAAGUGAACGUUAAUCUGCUCAUCUUCCCUCAUGAACUUUUAAAAUCCUCAGAGUGUUAAAUUGUAUUGCCAUUAACAAAUUGCAUGUAUUCAUUGACAAUUGCAUGUGAGCAUUCUUCAAUUAUUUAUAUCAUCUGCAUGUACUAUUGACACGUUGCAAUUGAUUAAUUAACGACCUAAUGUUCUAACAUACUAUGUACUUCGCUACUUUUCUCUAAAUUGUCAUUGAAUGAUAUAAUAGUCCUAUUCGUUUAA